UUUCAAAGGGUGUACAUAACUUUUGAAAGACCCCCAGAGUGGGGAGACCGUCACUCAAGUCUCGGGAUGACACGACCCCCCAAGAACUCACACAAGACC
rnacentral:pre_miRNA from 14 species